UACGUAGGGGUCGAGCGUUGUCCGGAGUUACUGGGCGUAAAGCGCGUGCAGGUGGCUCAUUACGCCCGGCGUGAAAGCCCCCGGCUCAACCGGGGAGGGUCGUCGGGGACCGCACCGCUUGAGGGCGGUAGGGGCUGGUGGAAUGCCUGGUGUAGUGGUGAAAUGCGUAGAGAUCAGGCGGAACACCCGUGGCGAAGGCGGCCAGCUGGGCCGUCCCUGACGCUGAGGCGCGAAGGCGUGGGGAGCGAACGGG
rnacentral:rRNA from 1 species